UACGGAGGGGGCUAGCGUUGUUCGGAAUUACUGGGCGUAAAGCGCACGUAGGCGGCUUUGUAAGUUAGAGGUGAAAGCCCGGGGCUCAACCCCGGAAUAGCCUUUAAGACUGCAUCGCUUGAACACGGGAGAGGUGAGUGGAAUUCCGAGUGUAGAGGUGAAAUUCGUAGAUAUUCGGAAGAACACCAGUGGCGAAGGCGGCUCACUGGACCGUUGUUGACGCUGAGGUGCGAAAGCGUGGUGAGCAAACAGG
rnacentral:rRNA from 1 species